AUGAAAUAUUUUUAUCAGUUUUGUGCUCAUUUUCAAGACUGUGAGAACAAGUAAUUAUUCUAUAUUAUUUAAAUAAUAAUUCGACACCAAAUAGUUGUUUAACUUAGAACAGCAUUUCAUUCUCUUAUCAGUCCGACCAGAAUCCAACGUCGUAUAGACAUCUAAAUCUAACGUCGACUAGACGUCGUGAAUAUGACGUUGAACAGACGUUGUAUUUUGGUCGCCAACGUCGCGACCAAAAUCCAAAGUUGUUUCAACGUUGUGUCGACGUCAGGUGUUUGCUGGUUAUAGACUCUAGCAGUAAUGACCACAGCAGAAAUCGUAGCUAUGUUGUCAAGUGAUGAUGUGAUUUGUACUAGACAACAUAACAUACAGCAGUGGAACAGAGACAGACUUAUUUAACAGUUCAAAAUAUUAGACUCUGAUUUAGUCAAAUAAGACGGGUUUAACAAUCACGUGCACUACAUGACAAUUUUCCGCUUUAUAGAGGGAACACGACUCAAUGCAUGAUUUUGUCAUAGUGAUGAAUUAUAAUACAAAAAAAAAAACGAUUAAAUAAACUCGCAUCAAAACUUGAA